AGUGAACGCUGGCGGUAGGCCUAACACAUGCAAGUCGAACGGCAGCACAGUAAGAGCUUGCUCUUACGGGUGGCGAGUGGCGGACGGGUGAGGAAUACAUCGGAAUCUACUUUUUCGUGGGGGAUAACGUAGGGAAACUUACGCUAAUACCGCAUACGACCUACGGGUGAAAGCAGGGGAUCUUCGGACCUUGCGCGAUUGAAUGAGCCGAUGUCGGAUUAGCUAGUUGGCGGGGUAAAGGCCCACCAAGGCGACGAUCCGUAGCUGGUAUGAGAGGAUGAUCAGCCACACUGGAACAGAGACACGGUCGAGACUCCUACGGGAGGAAGCAGUGGGGAAUAUUGGAGAAUGGGCGCAAGCCUGAUCCAGCCAUACCGCGUAGGUGAAGAAGGACUUCGGGUUGUAAAGCCCUUUUGUUGGGAAAGAAAAGCAGCAGGUUAAUACCCCGCUGUUCUGACGGUACCCAGAGAAUAAGCACCGGCUAACUUCGUG
rnacentral:rRNA from 1 species